CCAUCUACUAAAAUUCCAUUCUACUUCCCGCGUUGUUCCUUCUGCUUCUCCCUAUCUCGCUCACUCUUUUCUGUCUUUCCCUCCUACUUCACCCGCUUCACCCACAUCGUUCUUUCUUCUUCUCUCUUUCCCUCCACUCCUCAUAUGCUGUAAAUCAUUUUGGGGCUGCUUCAAACCCACUCCUCAUCCUCUGUAAGUCAUUUUGGGGCUUCUUCGAGUUGCUAUCGCAAUCAGUGUUCAACCCCAAUUUCUAAUUACGAUUUGAGUUCAGCAAAAGUGUCAGACAAUGGCCAGGGAGAGGGCUCGUAACAAGGUGAAUCACCACUUAGGCCGAGCUUCUUAUGCAACUCUUCUCCAUCAGAUGGAGGAGGAAAGCAAACAAAACAAUGCUCCCCCCUAGGUGAGAGGACCUAUUCAAGAGGGCCCACACAAACUCCCCAGGGGAGUUCUAUGAUCCCGAGGCAAGGGAACUUGCUGCCAAAAUGACAACAUAUAUGGCAGAGCAAGCAGAAGAUGGCGCAUGGGUUGAGGCCAUUGGUCCCCAUGAUGCACUGGCAGCAGUUUUGGGAGAUGGGCAUCCAUCACGGGUGUGCUGUUUGGGCUUUGGCCCGACCCCAAAGCAUGCUUUUGGUACUACAAGGUCUGGAAGCACCUCUCAAACUACAACUUCCACCAUGUACAUGACACAUUUGGAGCAAGAGAACCAACAACUUCGGGCAAAAGUGGACAAUCUUCAAUCGAACAUGGUGAGUCUGAAUUCACAUGUGCUACAUUUGCAAUCAUUCAUGGAGCAGAUGGCGCAACAAUAUGGCAUGCCUAUGCCUGAUCCAUUCCCCACGCUCAAUACAAUUCAAGAUAUUGAAUAGAUACCUAACAUAGGGUCUCCUCGUGCACAUGCAAUGAGUAGGGAGAGGGAGAAUGCCAAUGCAAAGGGGAAAUCUCUCUGUUUUGGAUGAUAUAUUUUUCUUCCUUUUUCAUAUACUUUUUGUAUAAACAUAAAUGUUUA